UGUGUGUGUUUGCUUGACGAACUUUGUGUUUUGGGCGCUGUAUUUAAUUUGGUUUCGUUAUAUUUUCUCUCCUGUUUCAUAUAUAGUUUUCCAAUUUACUGCCAAUAUAAUUUUUAACAAUCUAGGGAAGUAAUCUAGGUUCACUUCGGGGUCUUUGUUGAAAUCUUGAGUAUCAUCUGUUUUUCUACCCCCAAUGAAUAUCUGUUUCGUUUAUGUUUUUGCGCAUGUUCUGUGCAUUAAGUUAUUCUUGUAAUAUGAGUUCUUACCGUAGUUUUUUUUUUAUCCAUGGUGAAACGAGUGUUGCCACAUGUUCUCAGUGUCUGUUGCAUUGAGGUGGUUGAUCCUUUUUAAUUCUAUUUCUCAGUGUUGGAGAAAUUUCACAGUAAUUUGCAGCAUGUUUAUCGAGAAAUGAUUGUAUGCGCUGCCAUAAUUGUCUAGAUCUGUUUUCGUCUUUCGAGAUAUCUCUGGUCCAUAGGACUUGCAUUUUUCAGCUUUGUUGCCAAGCGUCAGCUUUGAUAUUCCACCGACAACCUGAACAUCGCUAGCUUCGUAUUCCUUUUAGUAAUAGGAUUGUUUACAUAGAGUGAUAGAGAUGUCUGUCUUGAAUUUUGUUAUAGUGAACUCUCAUGAAAUGUACUGUUUCCUCCGCCGAUCCUCUUACAAUUUCCUUGAUUAGGUACUUAUGGUGGAGUGUGGGUUAACUUGUAAAAUCCAUUUAGAAUCAAUUUCAGUUGUCACCUUUAUAUACCUUCCAGAAAUUUUGUUUUCUUACAGUGCUAAGGCUUUUCCAUAGGACGUUGUUACUGGAUUUUAAUCCUAGGAAAACAUCUUUUCCACCUGUUAUCGACACAUGAUAUGCGCAGACAUACAAACACAUACACGCACACAUUAUUCCAUGCUUUGUGGACUGCAUUGCAAUUGCCUCCGAUUGCAUAUGGGACCAUGGAAGAACAAUGUCGGAGAAGUAAAGCUAAAGAAACGGGUGAAGUUAUGAAUUAGUUUCAUCCUACUAAUGCAGAUCAAUGUGUACUUCUUUCGAUUGCAAACCUGAAAUUUGCAAAUUGAAUACGAAAUAAAAUAUAUUCCGGUAUUGUAUCAGUCCGACUUUUCCCAAGCUGACGUGACUGCCACUCUUUAUUCAUCCGUUUAAUUAUUUAUUUAUAUAUUUAUUUAUUCAUGUAUCUAUUUAUUUCCCGUUUUACUACGUAACUGCGUAUGUUUGCAAGCAGUUUCUCAAGUUCUUUGUGAUGCACCGUAUUACCAAAUUGUAUUUCAAAUUCUAUGAACCUCCCAUGCAUAGUCCAGAGUGCAGCAAGGUUUACGUCGUCUGAUUGCGCACAUGCUGUAUCACCGCCUUUAAUCGAACAAUUCGACCUCAGGGUUUAUUCUUUGUAAGCCUGGUACUUAUUCUAUCGAGCCCUUUUGCCGAAAGGCUUUGUCAUGUUUUCAUAAACACAUCAACAUCGGUUUUCAAGCGAUGAUGAGACGACAAACACAGACACACAAAUAGAUAGAUAGAUAGAUAGAUAGAUAGAUAGAUAGAUAGAUAGAUACAUACAUACAUACAUAUAUACAUACAUACAUACAUACAUACAUACAUAUAUAUAUAUUCGACGUGCUUCUUUAAGUUUUCUGCUACCAAAUCCACUCACAACCCUUUGGUCGGCCAGAUGCUAUAGUAGAAAACAUCUUCCCAAGGUAACACGCAGUGGGACUGAACCCGGAACUAUGUGGUUUGGAAGCAAUCUUCUUACUAUACAGCCAUUCCUGUGCCUGAAUGUAUAUCGUUAGUUAUGGGUAUGCACACAAAUGCAGAGACAUUUAAAAACUGCUUGUAUCAUGUAUACCCAAAAAUUAUCAUGAAAAUGUAUUAGAAAAUUGUAUGAGAAUAUAAGAGGCUGAGCGGUCUCAUGGAACAAGAAAGUACAGAUUUCUUUUCAUAGAUAUGCCUAUAAUGUGUAAGGAAGUACCGAAUGUAGCAAUAAUAGUCAGAAGAAGCACUAAAAAAAGCGUUUAUUAUAUAUAUAUAUAUAUAUAUAUAUAUAUGUAUAUACAUACUUGCAGAAAUUCGUAUCUGGCUGCUUUAAAGGAUA